rnacentral:rRNA from 1 species
CCUGGCUUAGGAUGAACGCUGGCGGCGUGCCUAACACAUGCAAGUCGAGCGAGAUACACCUGAUUGAUGCUUCGGUUGAUAGACGGUGUGGAAAGCGGCGGACGGGUGAGUAACGCGUAGGCAACCUGCCCCUUACACAGGGAUAGCCAUUGGAAACGAUGAUUAAAACCUGAUGACACCUUGAGAUGACAUCUUCCCAAGGUCAAAGAUUUAUCGGUAAGGGAUGGGCCUGCGUCUGAUUAGAUAGUUGGUGAGGUAACGGCCCACCAAGUCAACGAUCAGUAGCCGACCUGAGAGGGUGAUCGGCCACAUUGGAACUGAGACACGGUCCAAACUCCUACGGGAGGCAGCAGUGGGGAAUAUUGCACAAUGGGGGAAACCCUGAUGCAGCAACGCCGCGUGAAGGAUGAAGGUCUUCGGAUUGUAAACUUCUGUCCUUGGGGAAGAUAAUGACGGUACCCAUGGAGGAAGCCCCGGCUAACUACGUGCCAGCCGCGGC